rnacentral:rRNA from 1 species
UCAGACGAUGCGUCAUGCAUAUCAAUAAGCGGAGGAAAAGAAACUAACAAGGAUUCCCUUAGUAACGGCGAGUGAAGCGGGAAGAGCUCAAAUUUGAAAUCUUCAAGGUUUUACCUUGACGAAUUGUAGUUUAAAGAAGUGUUUUCUGCUGAAGUUUUGGUAAAAGUUCUUUGGAAUAGGACAUCAUAGAGGGUGAGAAUCCCGUAUUUGACCAUUAUUUUCAGCUUUGUGAUACACUUUCAAAGAGUCGGAUUGUUUGGGAAUGCAGUCCAAAAUGGGUGGUAAAUUUCAUCUAAAGCUAAAUAUUGGCGAGAGACCGAUAGCGAACAAGUACCGUGAGGGAAAGAUGAAAAGAACUUUGAAAAGAGAGUUAAACAGUACGUGAAAUUGUCAAAAGGGAAGCGUUUGACACCAGUGUUGUUUUCUCGAAGAUCAAUUAAAAAUGGCUCGAUUUUGUAUUGCUUGAGACCUUAAAAGCUCACUGUACAUUUUUCGUGUCUUUUUUAAUGCACUUUUCGUUUAACAAGUCAACAUCAGUUUCUUUUGUUGUAAAAGGGUCAUUGGAAGGUGGCUUUCUUUUCGGAGAAAGUGUUUAUAGCCUUUGGCCUCUGCAAUCGGAGAGACUGAGGUCUGCAGCGUAGACUCUUCGGGGUUAGAUACAUUUGUGCUAAGUUAUAGCUUUUUAUAGACAACUUGUUGACUAUAAUUAGUCUUGUAGCUUACUCGCUUAUGCUAUUUUACCUACGCUUAGGAUGUUGAACUACUGAGACAUAGA